UACGUAGGGUGCGAGCGUUGUCCGGAAUUAUUGGGCGUAAAGGGCUCGUAGGCGGUCCAUCGCGUCGGGGGUGAAAAGCUGGGGCUUAACCCCAGUCCUGCUUUCGAUACAGGUGGACUAGAGGUAGGCAGGGGAGAAUGGAAUUCCUGGUGUAGCGGUGAAAUGCGUAGAUAUCAGGAGGAACACCUGUGGCGAAGGCGGCCAUCUGGCCCGUUACUGACGCUGAUGCGCGAAAGCUAGGGGAGCAAACGGG
rnacentral:rRNA from 1 species